UACGUAGGGUGCGAGCGUUGUCCGGAAUUAUUGGGCGUAAAGAGCUUGUAGGCGGUCUGUCGCGUCUGCUGUGAAAAUCCGGGGCUCAACCCCGGACUUGCAGUGGGUACGGGCAGACUAGAGUGUGGUAGGGGAGACUGGAAUUCCUGGUGUAGCGGUGAAAUGCGUAGAUAUCGGGAGGAACACCAGUGGCGAAGGCGGCACUCUGGGCCGGAACUGACGCUGAGGAGCGAAAGCGUGGGGAGCGAACAGG
rnacentral:rRNA from 1 species